rnacentral:rRNA from 1 species
UACGGAGGGGGCUAGCGUUGUUCGGAAUUACUGGGCGUAAAGCGCACGUAGGCGGCUUUUUAAGUCAGAGGUGAAAGCCCGGGGCUCAACCCCGGAAUUGCCUUUGAGACUGGAUCGCUUGAACGUCGGAGAGGUGAGUGGAAUUCCGAGUGUAGAGGUGAAAUUCGUAGAUAUUCGGAAGAACACCAGUGGCGAAGGCGGCUCACUGGACGACUGUUGACGCUGAGGUGCGAAAGCGUGGGGAGCAACAGGG